rfam:Ictidomys tridecemlineatus contig020000, whole genome shotgun sequence.
CGGGUUGUGGCUCAGCGGUAGAGCGCUUGUCUCAAACGCACGGGACCCUGGGUUUGAUCCUCAGCACCACGU